UACGGGGGGGGCAAGCGUUGUUCGGAAUUACUGGGCGUAAAGGGCGCGUAGGCGGCCUACUAAGUCGGACGUGAAAUCCCUCGGCUCAACCGAGGAACUGCGUCCGAUACUGGCGAGGCUUGAAUUCGGGAGAGGGAUGUGGAAUUCCAGGUGUAGCGGUGAAAUGCGUAGAUAUCUGGAGGAACACCGGUGGCGAAGGCGGCAUCCUGGACCGGCAUUGACGCUGAGGCGCGAAAGCCAGGGGAGCAAACGGG
rnacentral:rRNA from 1 species